CCUACGGGUGGCAGCAGUGGGGAAUAUUGGGCAAUGGGCGCAAGCCUGACCCAGCAACGCCGCGUGAAGGAAGAAGGCUUUCGGGUUGUAAACUUCUUUUCUGAGGGACGAAGAAAGUGACGGUACCUCAGGAAUAAGCCACGGCUAACUACGUGCCAGCAGCCGCGGUAAUACGUAGGUGGCAAGCGUUAUACGGAUUUAUUGGGUGUAAAGGGCGUGUAGGCGGGAAAGCAAGUCAGAUGUGAAAACUCAGGGCUCAACCCUGAGCCUGCAUUUGAAACUGUUUUUCUUGAGUGCUGGAGAGGCAAUCGGAAUUCCGUGUGUAGCGGUGAAAUGCGUAGAUAUACGGAGGAACACCAGUGGCGAAGGCGGAUUGCUGGACAGUAACUGACGCUGAUGCUCGAAAGUGUGGGUAUCAAACAGGAUUAGAUACCCCUGUAGUC
rnacentral:rRNA from 1 species